rnacentral:rRNA from 1 species
UACGGGGGGGGCAAGCGGUGUUCGGAAUUACUGGGCGUAAAGGGCGCGUAGGCGGCCCGGCCAGUCCCUUGCGAAAUCCCAUGGCUCAACUGUGGUAUUGCAGGGGAUACUACGAGGCUUGAGUCCGGGAGAGGGGAGUGGAAUUCCCAGUGUAGCGGUGAAAUGCGUAGAUAUUGGGAGGAACACCGGUGGCGAAGGCGGCUCCCUGGUCCGGUACUGGCGCUGAGGCGCGAAAGCGUGGGUAGCAAACAGG